UUCAUUUUUGUUUCAUUUAAUUUAUGUUGGAGUUGAGUCUGAAUCUAACUAAGUGACAUAAGCAUAAUUUCUUGAACUUUAAGAAAUGUUCUUUGAGUAUUCAGAACUAUAAUUGUCUUCAAAGCUACGGAUGUAAUUCCCUCCGUUUGCAUUGCUGUCAUUACCUUUAAUGACCACGUUAAUAGCUGAUUUUCUCACCAGGUCUCACAACAAAGACUCUAUUCAGCAAGCACGGUGACGUUUGUGUUACGCCACAGCGGGCACUGUUUUGCACUCAAUUGUGAUGCACGUGUCGCAAUGUCUUCCAAAGGAACACUCUUCCAAUUAACUCAAACAUGCUUGAGGUUUUUCCCCCGUCAUUGUUACGGCUUCACACCUGUUCUCGGCUUUCGGACACAUGAAACGCUGCUGACAACCUGUUGGGCGGUUGUUUUAAUUAAAAUACAAGACAUGUUACAACAGCCAUCUUUCACAUCCCCAACGAAACUUCCUUCUAAUGGAUGUCACCGAGGUAGCAAUUAUCUCCUCAAAAUAAUGCGAGUUUGCUGAUGAAACAAGACGAGCAGCGUAGUUGUGCUCAUCUCAUCUGGCACCUGCAAUGCCUUGCAACUUGCCCGCGUAGCACGUUUGGCAUGUUCAUGAUUCUCAGAGUUGUCUCAGCUUGUGUAUGUAGUAUAUGGCAGGUACACACUUGGGUGUAUCAAUUACUUUCCAAAAAUAGGGCUCUUCCGAUCACUCCAUUAACGACACAUUGUCCAAAUUUAGUUCUGAAGGACCGGAUCUGGAAUUUUGUUGAUAUCUGAUUGGGUGCUUUUCAAAUGCAGGAACUCUCUCUAAGUAUUGUAUCAGUAUAGUGGUUUUCCAUUGUGGGAACAUUUUAUUAACCUGACUAUCUGUGGAGCAGAAUGUGUUCUCCUGAAAUGGAUCAUUAUUUAAUAAGCUAUUUUUGACAUUGGAAUAACACCUCUAGCCUCUAUGGGUGAGACACCCCUGAUAUCAAGCCAAAGGCGGACAUCACUUGACAAGAAGAAGUGGAGGAGGAGGAAGAGGAGGCGGCGAAACACAAGCCCACUGCACCGUGUGCACUUGUCUGGCAGAUGCCUGCGCUGACAUUUGAGGCCAUGGGGACCGUGUUGAGAGAGCAGAUGCUCGCUGAUGUACAGACACAGGCAAGUACAUGGCAAGUACACAAGCGACUGAAGCAGAAGGAAAUCCGUGCAAACGCAUGACAGAAAACAAGGCAAGAGGUAGAAGUGGAAGAAGAAUUCGUCAAGUGUCGAGACAAGCAAUUGAACGGCAAAACUGAAGUGGCAAAUUAAUAAAACCCGUAGGUAGGCUAUCAAGCACUAUUUGAGCCAACGAGAAGCCAAAAAUAGUAUCUGCCUUUGUUUCUACAUUCUAAUGCUUGUAGAUAAACUAGAUAAUUCAUGGAACCUCAAGACAGGAGGGCAAGAGCCGAGAUUCAAACCCAGAACUGUGGGACUGCAAGUCAGAUGUCCUAAACACUAAUACCGCCACUUCUGCACACACUGCCAGACAACAAGCAGCGAAUCAGUGAUGGGAAUUUAACGAGAACAAAGUGCACAGUGAAAUAAGCACCACCGCUUAUCUCCGGCUGAGAGGAACUAAGUUUUAAAUCACGGAGGUCCGCAGGCGGCGUUAUGGAAAUGGCUGGCUGGCAGCCUCUUUGGUUGCCUGUAAACAGGAUCUUGGUAAGGCAUAUAGCCUCCGGUGGGGCUUUCGGAGGGAAGCUGGCUUGGUGGCGCUUGCCGAAUCCCUCUACCGGUCCCUCCCUCUAUGACACGCCUUCCUUUGCUGCAACCUGCCCGAACUGCCAUAUUGAGUAAUUCAUGAAGCGAGGCGGGGGCGGCAGCGGAAAUGGUAUCUGCACAUCCUGACACAGAGUACAUGACAUGUUCCACAUGUCUUGCCACGAAACUACAAAGAGCCCUUUUGUUGUGACGAAGAAAAAAAACCAACUUUUUUUCUUCUUUAGUUGAUGAGGUAUUAACUAGCGCUUGCACUAUUUUUUUGUGAGACAAAGAGUACAUCAUUGCUCAUUGGGCCAAGCUGAGCUAUGCUUGAAGUAAAAGGUAGCUACAUUCAA